ACCCCCCAGUUUCUUUAUCCAUCGGAUCUGAACACUGGUCUGAGUGGUUUCAAAGGGAAGAAAUGUAAAAUGGAAACUUAUCUCAACACUUUUGUUUUCAUGAAAGAAAUUGAUAUUGCUAAUUAGACAUGU
rnacentral:snoRNA from 1 species